AAAAAAACAGUGAGCGCCCUGUUGAGAAACGCUGAGGACCGGUCGUCGCAGGGCUCGGCCUCGCGCGGUGCAAUCCGGGGGAGUACGCAUCGGCUGGGGGCUUUCACUGGUGCUCGGUGAUGGUUGGCUGGGGAGCUCGGCCUCGCCGCCGGACGUGAGUACGGGAGAGAGAAGAGGAGCAGUGGGCUGCUGCCGCCAUGGACCCUUGUCGAUGGUGUCCGCUUGUGUGUGAGGGAGCUGUCGCUCGUGCCACCGUGGGAAACACUGCCCCAUUCCUGAUGAACUAUUCGUUGGAGUCCUCGGACCACCACCAAACCGCCUCCUGCCAUGAUUGUUGGUCUCCGCGACGUGAUCUCCGGUAAUACCCUGACCAGCGUGUCCAUUCGAUUCCCCGCUUUGUUUUAAGUCGGAUUAGAUUCCCGGUAGUGCACCAUUCGGGGCGGAUCGACACACACCGGUGGCGCCGCCGCCGUGAAGGUUCGGUUGACGCCAUCGCCCGAUGCCAGGUGGAAGACGCCUGCCCAGCCGUUGAAGCCUAAUCGGACGUCCAGGAUUAGAAUCCGCUCGGGUAAGGCUUACGCCGUCGAUUCAGGAACCAACGGAUAGGAUCGCUUAUUUGCGUAACGCUUCGGGAUGUAAAUUUCGACCGUAGGAUCCGAUCGGUCGGAUCAGGGGGAUUCUGGGAUAAUUAAAUCUGCACCGUAGAUCCUGAUCGGACGGCCGUGAUCACAAGAUACCCCUUCCGCCCUGGAGUUUUAUUAAAGAGACCCUGAGAUUUUAGAAUAUCAACCUGCCAUCCUCUGGCGUUGUGUCCUGUGUCUGCGGAUUAUUUCCCCAAAGCCCCUGCACUUUUCGGUAAAUGAGGCCCGGUCCAGUGCAGUUGAAAUUGAAUAAAUAAUUUGGAAAAUGGAUUUUUAAUAGGAAAAUAAUUGCUAGAACUUUGAUAAUUCAUAGAAAAUGCAUAUGAACUCCAAAUUACUCCAUUCCAGUUCCUAAAAUUUUGUUUUAUCAUGACAACAGUAAGAAAAUUAAUCCCACAAUUAAUCCUAUUUUAAACAUAUAAAACCUUUGGAAAUUCAUAACUUAAAUUCUAUAACUCCAAAAAUUAUGAUUCAUGUUCCUAGAAUUUUAUUUUAAUGCGUAGAUUAUUACUGUGUAUUUUGUAUAUAUGUUUGGUGUAAUGUUAAUUUCUCUAUAUGCACUGUGCUUGUUUGUGUUGUGGCGAGUAGAAGAGCCCGUGACUGAGGAUCCUGGUGAG
rnacentral:lncRNA from 1 species